rnacentral:rRNA from 1 species
CUACGGGUGGCUGCAGUGGGGAAUAUUGGACAAUGGGCGAAAGCCUGAUCCAGCCAUGCCGCGUGUGUGAAGAAGGCCUUCGGGUUGUAAAGCACUUUCAGUGGGGAAGAAAGCCUUGGGGCUAAUACCCUCGAGGAAGGACAUCACCCACAGAAGAAGCACCGGCUAACUCCGUGCCAGCAGCCGCGGUAAUACGGAGGGUGCGAGCGUUAAUCGGAAUUACUGGGCGUAAAGCGCGCGUAGGCGGUCUGAUAAGCCGGUUGUGAAAGCCCCGGGCUCAACCUGGGAACGGCAUCCGGAACUGUCAGGCUAGAGUGCAGGAGAGGAAGGUAGAAUUCCCGGUGUAGCGGUGAAAUGCGUAGAGAUCGGGAGGAAUACCAGUGGCGAAGGCGGCCUUCUGGACUGACACUGACGCUGAGGUGCGAAAGCGUGGGUAGCGAACAGGAUUAGAUACCCCGGUAGUC